rnacentral:rRNA from 1 species
UGCGUAGGCGGAAUGAUAAGUUAGUGGUGAAAGCCCCCGGCUCAACCGGGGAACUGCCAUUAAUACUGUCAUUCUUGAGUAUAGUUGAAGUGGGCGGAAUGUAUCAUGUAGCGGUGAAAUGCUUAGAUAUGAUACAGAACACCGAUAGCGUAGGCAGCUUGCUAAACUAUAACUGACGCUCAGGCACGAAAGCGUGGGUAGCAAACAGGAUUAGAUACCCUGGUAGUCC